rnacentral:tRNA from 1 species
GAUCGGUGGUUCAGUGGUAGAACGGCCGCCCGCCACGAGGGCGGCCUGGGUUCGAUUCCCGGCUGAUGCA